rnacentral:rRNA from 1 species
UACAGAGGGUGCAAGCGUUAAUCGGAAUUACUGGGCGUAAAGGGCGCGUAGGUGGUUAUUUAAGUCAGAUGUGAAAUCCCUGGGCUUAACCUAGGAAUUGCAUUUGAAACUAGAUGGCUAGAGUAUGGUAGAGGGAAGCGGAAUUCCCGGUGUAGUGGUGAAAUGCGUAGAUAUCGGGAGGAACACCAGUGGCGAAGGCGGCUUCCUGGCCUGUUCUUGACGCUGAGACGGCGAAAAGCGUGGGGAGCAAACAGGG